GUCAGGUGUUGUGGCCCCACCUGGUGAAUCAGCCCAACCAGAAUGGGCUUAGUAAAGCACGUGUUGGUGUUGCAAAUACCCAGAGGCACUCUCCAAACUUCACAAAGCCUCCCUCCCUGCCCAGUCCAGGCAUGUUCCCCAGUUCUCUGCAGAAGGCACUCUGUUGGAGAAGGCCACACCUUGGUUUACUUGUGUUCCAGGACAGCUGGACCUAAGAGAGUGAGACCUCUUGCCCGAAUAACCUGGAAUUUAAAGAAAGGCUUGAUCAUUAAGAAGACCCAGCCAGGGAGUCCAGUACCUUGGCGUUAGUCCAUCCCCUUAUGGGCAGUGUUCUGGGAGGUGAUACUGAACAGAGGUAAGCACAGGAAUUUUGGGAUAAUCAUUGUCCAGAGCAUUGGCCUUUUGGAACUUGGGUUUUGGAACUCUCUGGGCUUGAAGCAUGUGAGUAUUGAUGCCACUAUGGGUCUAUAAGUUUAUGUCGAGCUAUGUCUGGCUAAAAGGACUGCUCACAUGUUCUAUCAUUGGGGUGUCAGUUCCUGAUUUCAUAACUCAGUUGGCAAGAUGAGGGAGUGGACAUGCUCCAAAAGCAGCACUCACUGAACAAUAGCUGUAGGUGGCCUUCAUUUUCUCUCCUUCCCGGCAACAGGCCUCUGUGCUUGCCAAGGCAUGUUCACAUCCACAUCUUGCUCAUCCUCACAGGGCUGUGGGUGACCUGGGAGUGACCAGAGUUUGCCCCUGUGUUCCUGCUGGGGAACUUGGGAAACCCUGGCUUCCUAGCUGGAUAUCUCCCCCAAAUACCACACAGCAAGCACACAGCACUCCUUUCCAAAUGUUUUGAUUUUUAAUGUUUCCUUUCAUAUUCCGGACUGACUCCUACCUGCCUUGCAACAAAUUUGAAACUAUACUAUCAUAUUAUUCCUGAUGUUCUGAAUCUAUCUUGUGUCUUAAAAAGCUUCAUAUUGCAUGCUUUGGUGUUUGUCCAUUUUUCUCCUCUCAGUUAAGGAGUAAUGAAAUCUCUUAUGACAAGUCCUAAGAAACGUGCUUAGGAAUGGCUGGCUGAAUGAACGGCUUUUGUACAAAACUUAAUGUGGAGGAGCCUUAGCUAAAAAUGGAGCCAAUUGCUUGUUCCACUCUGGUCUAAGGAGUCUUUGGGGAGUUUGGUGAUUGAAAGAAGGGUGUAGCAUUAUCACCUCAUUCAAGGCAUUGUCUGUCCAACACAUGCUACAACCAUGAUACGUGAAUGAAACUCAAAUACUAUGCUGAAAGCAAGAAGCCAGACCCUGAAGAAUACAAACUGCAUAUUCUGAUCAUUUGAAACUCCAGAAAACAGAGAUCUAGACUGUAUGGUAGAAAACACGUCAUUGCGAAGUAAGAAGGACAGAGGUAGAGAAUGACUAGGAAGAGGCAGGGGCUUUUCUUUGAGAAAUAGAAAUACUCUAGGUUUUUAUUGAUAGUAGUUACAUGGGUGUCCACAUUUGUCAAAAUACAUAGGUCCAUCUAUUUUAAACAGAUGCAUAUAAAUUUAUAUCUCAACAAGUUGAUUAAGAGAUGUGUAAGACAGGGGUACCUGAGUGGCUCAGUUGGUUUGGCAUCUGACUCUUGAUUUCAGCUCAGGUCAUGAUCUCAGGGUUGUGGUAUUGAGCCCCGGGUCAGGUCUGUGCUUAGCAGGCAGUCUGCUUGGGAUUCUCUCCCUCUCCUUCUGCCCCUCCCUCUGUUCACUCUCUCUCUCUCUCAAAUAAAUAAUUUUUUAAAAAAAAAAGAAAUGUGUAAUGUCAAAAGGAAAAUUUGCAAAUACUUGAACAAUUCUCCAUUUUUCUUCCUAUUCUCAAAGCUGUCUUAGGCACUUAUAAUAUCAUGAAAUGUGUUUAAAAUUCAAUAAUUCUUUUUUUUAAUUACUCCAGCAAACCUAACUCAGAAAACAUUUCUAAGUGUAAGAGUCUUGACUUUAAUCCAGUUGGUUAUGUAAGAAUAAACAACACAAAACAAACAUAUAUUAAUUUGAUAUUUACUGCUGCAAACAUUAGGCAGAGAUAUGCUUUUCACCAUGACUCACACAACAUAUUUAUACUUACUUAAACUGCACAUGCUCAUUUGUCCUAUUCUGAUUUUUUAAUAGAAUUGCUUUAACUAUGUGCUACAUUUUCUCUGUACUGUUUGGGUUUGGCUUCAUCGCUUGUUUUCUGUGUUAAUAAAAGGUAGCUCUUCAUAUUUACCUCUCUUUUCCUAGGCACACAUGGGGAACUAAUAAGAUGUUUCUGAGCCUUCCUCCUUCUGACAAAGGCUGGUGCAAUGUAACAUGAGUGCAAAUGUCCUGAGGCCUUGUCUGACUC
rnacentral:lncRNA from 1 species